rnacentral:ncRNA from 1 species
AGAAAUACGUUGAUUAGGUUAGUAGCCUAACGGAUUACGCAAAGAGAGCCUUCAUUUGAGUGAAAGAAGGACGAGUUCGUUAGUUGAAGAUCUCCUAUGAGUGCAUCUCUUCAUUAAAUUGAUAAGAUGCUGGCCACCCCAUUACAGGUGAUUGAUAUUAUAUAUAGAUAAAAUCAAUCUGAGACGUCAUCAGAGAUGAUGAUGUGAAUCAAGGUGGUAACACGUUCAAGACGUCCUUCAU